CAGUUUUGGGCUCAGUGCCCCCACUGCUGCAGUAAUGUUAAUUCUCAAGCCUCCCCUCCGGGUUCAGGCAUGGGCACAGUUGCAAGAGAAGUAGAUUGGGAGUUCCUGAACCAACUGGUUGCUGACCAUGAGUCAGGGGAAUGACCUUGCAGCAGGCAGCUCACGGUGCCGCUCUCGGAGCCGUGCCAGGAUAAACGGCACUGGCAUCUCUGAGUGCUGGUGGAACCAUUUUGUGACAUUCCAGCUUGGCCUUGUCUCCUGCUGCCUUUGCACCGAAAUUGUUUGGGUGGGUGGGAAUGGGAUAGAGUAUUCCCUUUUUUCCUCACAGCCUGGGCUUGGGACUGUCUAAAUACAGAGAUAAAGGGGAUAUGGACAACUCUUAUCUCCUGCCUACAUCCUUGUCCAUUAACAUCAGCAUUACAGAUAUUUAACCAAAUUAAAUCUUACUCUCCCCCCACAGCCAUACCCAUAUUAAACUGUAAGAAAACACCAUGACAAAGUUUAAAAAAUCCUACGCAGCAGCACUGAAUUUUCUGGAUAGGUCUGGGAGAGAUUUGUCAGAGGAGAGAGGGUAGAACACUUGGCAUUUAGACGUUUUAAUGACUGUUCCCAAAUAAGAAAAGAAAAACAUUUGCUUGUAGACUCUAAGCUUCUCACAGCAUCAGAAAGCUCCUGACACAGAGCCCAGUGCUGUAUUUGUAUAACAUGGAAAUGAACAGCAGCAGCAGCAGAGCUGCAGGCUCCGAGCCUGCUCUGCAAGCAGCAAAAUGGCCAGGGUGCUGGGGCUCAUCUGAAUUCCUUCACCAUUUGGGGGGUCACUAGGUGGACCUGAUACCCCUGACCCUUCAGGUGUAGUUUCAACUCUAGCAUCAGUAUGAAAUGAAUAUUUCUAAUCAUAUUCAAGCUUGUGCCCCCAUCAGCUCCACUCCCUAAAGCACCGACAGGAACCAACAGCAAAAUUCGUCUGCGUCACAGAUGUAACAUGACCAUCGGCAAAACAAGAGCAGGGGAGAUCAUGGCUGUCUCGUCCCUCACAGAGCCUUCCUUCACUAGCACACAAGAAGAGGUAAUGCUUUUAAAUUUAUACCAUGGGCAUGUGAAAUCCUGCCCUUCCUUCCCCGAAUCCCGCGGUCCCCGAGCGGUCAGAACGCCCGAGAAAACUGCGUGUGUUUUGUCGGCGUGGUACCGAACGCUGCGUCACGAUGCUGCACCAAGGCCGAGGCAGAGCAAACCCCACUCCCCAGAGCAGGGAAGCCCAGAUACAGGAACAUGAAUCAGCUCAUGCAGUGUCACACACACAAGUGUCAGAGGGAGGGAGAAAUCACAGCUUUCCCCAGUCCUUUUGCGGCACUGUGCGGAAAAUGAUCGCGCAACGGUUACCCAGGUACAGCUCACGGUGACAGUGCCACCCCUGUGCACAUAAUCACUGCUGUCCUACAGAAAUAUGCCAUGUCCCCUUCUUAGCCUUGUUUCCUGCCAGUCCCACAGAUUUACCUGCUGACAGUAACCUCAAUUCCUGAGUAAUGAGAUUUACAGCUGGAGUUUAACAUUGAAAUAACUCCUCUUAUAUCCGUCUCUUUACCCUCCCUGCGUUUAGGCACAGUUAAACCAUCGCUGUGGCCAAAACAUGAUGGCGAAAAGAAUUAAACCAAAUACAUCCUUGUGCUGAAGACACUCAGCAGCCAGUGGCACCUCCUUGAAAGCCAUGAAACAACAGCACCAGCUUUACAAAGUCAGGGCUUCUCCACCCCAAAACCAUGAUUGGGAAAACCACAAAGAGCUGUCCAUGCAACCAACACUCGAGAAAACACUCAACCCCACCUAUCAUCCACACAACCCAGUAUCAUGCCUUAGUCCAGCUCCUGGCUGUACAGAACACCUCUGCAGCUGCCCGGGACUGUUCUCCUGUGUGUGUGUGUAUUUCUGCCUGUCUGUCUGUCUGCAGGGACCACCGUUGUCGCUGCUGUUCCUGUUGUUCCCCUGCUCUGCAGAUCUGGCGCUGCGGGAGGCAAGGAUGCUCCGAGGGAGCCAGCUACAGCCAGCGAAGGCUCAGUGCAGUCCCUGCCCCAAGCAGUUCACAGCGCUGCCAACACUCCAGCACCUCACAAGGGAGAAGAAACCAAGGAGAAAAGCCCUGAACCCCAGUACUUUCCCCUGCACCGUGGGCUGCAGCUCUGACACGUCAUCAUCACGACUGGACGGCGAAACGAGAUCUCCUGGGAGCACCCAUGGGUGAAGGACUGCACCCAGCCCAGCCAGCAGUGACCAGCUCCUGUCCUGCCUGCUGCCCGAGGGACGCCUGGCAUCCGGGACCCGAGCUGGUGUGGAAGCGUCUGGAAGGCACCCGUCUACCUGUCCCCAGUGCUUUUAAAAACUGGACGACGUGCCCUGCAAUGAUC